rnacentral:rRNA from 1 species
GACGAACCUUGCAAACGUUAUUCGGAAUCACUGGGCUUAAAGGGUGCGUAGGCAGUGCAGAAAGUCGGGUGUGAAAUCCCUCAGCUCAACUGAGGAAUUGCGCCCGAAACUGCUGUGCUAGAGGAAUACAGAGGUGAGCGGAACUUAGGGUGGAGCGGUGAAAUGCGUUGAUAUCCUAAGGAACACCGGUGGCGAAAGCGGCUCACUGGGUAUUUUCUGACGCUGAGGCACGAAAGCUAGGGGAGCAAACGGG